rnacentral:other from 1 species
UUCUGAGAUAUGCGUAAGGUGAUUAGUUCUUUAAAUCCGAACAUUUCUGAUUAGGGAAUCCGAUUCGCUAGUGUGGUGUUGAAUGCCUAGCUUUUAUCACCUAGGACUCCUAAAACACUAGAUACGAUGCCCACCUGCUAUUUUAGCGGGUUUAUAUCCUAACACCUACGGUAUUUUGGAUA